GAUGAACGCUGGCGGCGUGCCUAAUACAUGCAAGUCGAGCGAACAGACGAGGAGCUUGCUCCUCUGACGUUAGCGGCGGACGGGUGAGUAACACGUGGAUAACCUACCUAUAAGACUGGGAUAACUUCGGGAAACCGGAGCUAAUACCGGAUAAUAUAUUGAGCCGCAUGGUUCAAUAGUGAAAGACGGUUUUGCUGUCACUUAUAGAUGGAUCCGCGCCGCAUUAGCUAGUUGGUAAGGUAACGGCUUACCAAGGCAACGAUGCGUAGCCGACCUGAGAGGGUGAUCGGCCACACUGGAACUGAGACACGGUCCAGACUCCUACGGGAGGCAGCAGUAGGGAAUCUUCCGCAAGGGGCGAAAGCCUGACGGAGCAACGCCGCGUGAGUGAUGAAGGUCUUCGGAUCGUAAAACUCUGUUAUUAGGGAAGAACAAAUGUGUAAGUAACUAUGCACGUCUUGACGGUACCUAAUCAGAAAGCCACGGCUAACUACGUG
rnacentral:rRNA from 1 species